UACAGAGGGGGCCAGCGUUAUUCGGAAUUACUGGGCGUAAAGGGCUCGUAGGCGGCCAACUAAGUCCGACGUGAAAUCCCAAAGCUUAACUUUGGAACUGCGUCGGAUACUGGAUGGCUUGAAUUCGGGAGAGGGAUGCAGAAUUCCAGGUGUAGCGGUGAAAUGCGUAGAUAUCUGGAGGAAUACCGGUGGCGAAGGCGGCAUCCUGGACCGACAUUGACGCUGAGGAGCGAAAGCUAGGGGAGCAAACGGG
rnacentral:rRNA from 1 species